rfam:Schistosoma mattheei strain Denwood, Zambia genome assembly, scaffold: SMTD_scaffold0002830
AUCCAGCUGACGAGUUUCAAAUAGGACGAAACGCGCAUCCUGGAU